ensembl:antisense Rab10os RAB10, member RAS oncogene family, opposite strand
UGGACGUAGCUUCAGGUGACCUCACUGACCCCGCCCCUGACUCCACCCCUUGUGAUGACCCCACCACUGACCCACAGGCCUUGGAGGGGCUGAUCCUGGAGAAGUCAAAGGACCAGGAGGACGCCAUGGGGGGUGCUGUACAGGCUGAGCAGGAAGCAGAGCAGCACAGCGUCAUCAUGAGGGUAGCCAUCUUCACCUGGGGCAUCCACGGAGGCCCUGCCCAGGAAGUGACUUUCUCUCUACUGUAGGAGGAGCUGAUCCACGACUACUUGGACAACAGCACACCAGCGAAGGAUGGGACAAGGCCUGGGGCCUCCGCCAUCCAUGCGUGGGGAGUGAUGCUGGUAGAGGGCAAAUUGGUGACGUCAUCAAUGCAGCGGGCUUCCCACUCAACCACUUUAGCCGCAAGCUUGCAAGGGCAGCUGCCAGAGACAGGAAGUGACAUCGCUGUGGAGAGGGCAGCAGGAAGUGAGGUGGAAGAAAAGUGUUUUGAAACUGACCCUACAGAUAAAAGAGUUCAUCAUGAAUGCGAUACCCUCCUAUACAGUUGUUAGAAGCAACCCUCCAUCUCCAACUCCAAAAAUAAAUGAAAACCAAACCACACAGUUGGAAAUCAGCAAGAAGAGAACCGGAUGGUGGAUGGCAGCAGAUGGACAGGAGAGCACUCAGCAGCACUUGCUCUUCCAGCCCGUCACGCCUCCUCCACUGCUGAUAUCUACGUUUUCACUGUUGGGUUCUUUUACAGGGGUCUGCAACAACACAAGGAAGCAAGCAACCCGUGAGAAAGCACUGGCAUGGAUGAAAACAGACUCACUGGAAAGAU